rnacentral:rRNA from 1 species
UUUUUGGUGCUUGCACCAGAAUUUCGUUAGCGGCGGACGGGUGAGUAACACGUGGGUAACCUACCUUGUAGACUGGGAUAACUUCGGGAAACCGAGGCUAAUACCGGAUAAUACUUUUAAACACAUGUUUGAAAGUUGAAAGAUGGUCUUGCUAUCACUACAAGAUGGACCCGCGGCGCAUUAGCUAGUUGGUGGGGUAAUGGCUCACCAAGGCAACGAUGCGUAGCCGACCUGAGAGGGUGAUCGGCCACACUGGGACUGAGACACGGCCCAGACUCCUACGGGAGGCAGCAGUAGGGAAUCUUCCACGAUGGACGAAAGUCUGAUGGAGCAACGCCGCGUGAGUGAAGAAGGAUUUCGGUUCGUAAAACUCUGUUGCAAGGGAAGAACAAGUAGCGUAGUAACUGGCGCUACCUUGACGGUAACUUGUUAGAAAGCCACGGCUGAACGGCGUGCCAGCAGCCCCCGGUAAUACGUAGGUGGCAAGCGUUGUCCGGGAAUUAUUGGGCGUAAAGCGCGCGCAGGUGGUUCCUUAAGUCUGAUGUGAAAGCCCCCGGCUCAACCGGGGAGGGUCAUUGGAAACUGGGGAACUUGAGUGCAGA